UACGGGGGGGGCAAGCGUUGUUCGGAAUUACUGGGCGUAAAGGGCUCGUAGGCGGCCAACUAAGUCAGACGUGAAAUCCCUCGGCUUAACCGGGGAACUGCAUCUGAUACUGGAUGGCUUGAGUUCGGGAGAGGGAUGCGGAAUUCCAGGUGUAGCGGUGAAAUGCGUAGAUAUCUGGAGGAACACCGGUGGCGAAGGCGGCAUCCUGGACCGACACUGACGCUGAGGAGCGAAAGCGUGGGGAGCAAACGGG
rnacentral:rRNA from 1 species